rnacentral:rRNA from 1 species
UGAAGAGUGUAGGCGUUGAGGAUGGCAGGCAAAUCCACCGUCCGAGCUGAACUUGAGAGUAUGGAGUCUUCUUCGGAAGAAUCCAAUAGUGUGGGUAAUCAUACUCCCGAGAAAAUCCGCUAAGCUUAACCCAUGCGGCACCCGUACCGCAAACGGACACACGUGGUCGGGUAGAACAUACUGAGGCGUUGAGAGAUUCAUGGUUAAGGAACUAGGCAAAUUGACCCUGUAACUUCGGGAUAAAGGGUCCUCGUGAAUAGCGAGGCGCAGAGAAUAGGUCCAGGCAACUGUUUAACAAAAACACAGGGCUGUGCAAACUCGAAAGAUGACGUAUACAGCCUGACACCUGCCCGGUGCCGGAAGGUUAAGAGGAGAUGUCACUCGCAAGAGGAAGCAUUGAAUUGAAGCCCCGGUAAACGGCGGCCGUAACAAUAACGGUCCUAAGGUAGCGAAAUUCCUUGUCGGGUAAGUUCCGACCUGCACGAAUGGUGUAAUGAUCCGGACGCUGUCUCAACCAUGAGCUCAGUGAAAUUGUAGUAUCGGUGAAGAUGCCGAUUACCCGCGAUGGGACGAAAAGACCCCGUGAACCUUUACUACAGCUUAGCAUUGACCUUGGUCAUCCGAUGUGUAGGAUAGGCCGGAGGCUUCGAAGCGGGAGCGCCAGCUUUCGUGGAGCCAUCCUUGAAAUACGGCCCUUUGGCUGUCUGAGGUCUAACGCGCGAUGCGCGGACACUGCUUGGUGGGUAGUUUGACUGGGGUGGUCGCCUCCAAAAGCGUAACGGAGGCUUCCAAAGGUGCCCUCGGGUCGAUUGGUAACCGACCUCAAAGAGUGCAAUGGCAUAAGGGCGCUUGACUGGGAGGCAGACAUGCCGAGCAGGCAGGAAACUGGGGCAUAGUGAUCCGGCGGAUGUGUAUGGAAGCUCCGUCGCUCAAAGGAUAAAGGGUACUCCGGGGAUAACAGGCUGAUCCCCCCCAAGAGCUCAUAUCGACGGGGUGGUUUGGCACCUCGAUGUCAGCUCGUCACAUCCUGGGGCUGGAGAAGGUCCCAAGGGUUGGGCUGUUCGCCCAUUAAAGUGGCACGCGAGCUGGGUUCAGAACGUCGUGAGACAGUUCGGUCUCUAUCUAUCGUGGGCGUGGGAGUUUUGCGUGGUGCCGUCACUAGUACGAGAGGACCGUGAUGGACAGACCUCCGGUUUGCCAGUUGUGCCGCCAGGCGCACCGCUGGGUAUCUGAGUCUGGAUUGGAUAAGCGCUGAAAGCAUCUAAGUGCGAAGCCAGCCGCAAGAUGAGAACUCCAUUGAGGGUCGUCAGAGACGAUGACGUUGAUAGGAUGCAGGUGUAAAGACAGCGAUGUCAAAGCCGAGCAUUACUAAUUGCCC